AUUCAAUUCUCCUUACCGCUUACAAUUCCCUCAUUCUUCUUUCACACGCUCCUUGGAUUAUAUAUGUAAACUUGAAUAAUUCUUCAAUUACUGGAACGUCAUAUGGAAGCGUUUCCAAUCUUUUGCAAUUAGUCAAAAGGGUUAUUCUUCUACCUUGAAACCCUAAUAUGUUCGAAUUGAACCAUGAUGUUGUGAUCGAUUGGUUGAUUUUACAAUUACAAGAUAUGGCUGAAUGAAUACAGAUGCUGAAAACCCUUUGCCACAUCACCUGGUAAGUUUUUUUUCUCAAUCCGUAAUCUAAUUCACGCAAGUUUCUUAUGUUGAUUUGUGUUUCAUGUCUUUGUAAGUUUCUUAUUUACAUAUUUUGUUCUUAUUUUCUAUAAUCGAUUGUUUUGAUUCCACGCCGCUGUGCUCUCCAACAAUCCCUUCAAUAGCGGCUACACAAGAGGAUCCCUGAUUCCAGUCAAAUCAAGAAAUGACGUUCAAUGAGCCAUGAAUGGAGCCGAGUGUCAGCUUCGUUAAAACUCCCAGGGAGUGUUUCAAAACAUAACUUGGAGAACUCGUUAAAAAAGAUGUGUAAAGAAGGUGCAUACUGGGGAACUAUAGCUGGAGUAUAUGUUGGAAUGGAGUAUGGCGUUGAGGGAGUGCGUGGCGUCAGAGAUUGGGUAAAUAUUAACAGUUUUAUGACACCCGUUUUGUAAUGCUUGCACAGGUCCACUGGUGGAAAUGCUCGGAUUAUGGUUGAGGAAGACUCCAUCACUUCAUAUGUUCAGUAUUGUUGUGAUGGUUGUUCCACUGUCCCUAUACUCAGGCGUAGAUGGUAUUGUACUGUCUACCCUGAUUUUGAUUUAUGUGAAGCAUGCUAUCUAAUGCUUGAUGCUGACCGACUUCCUCCGCCUCAUUCCUGAGACCAUCUUUUGUCAGCAAUUCCAAUUGAAAUCGAAACAUAUAGUGGAGAGGGAAAUGAAAUGCAGUUCUCUACUGAUGAUUUUUGUGAUCGAUGUUGCUGACUUUUGCAUCUGAUGCUGGCAUGCAGACAUCUGCUCCUACAAUUCAUGUAUUGGAAACCAAUGAAUCCAAAGAGUUUCUAGCUUCAGUCACUAACCCUAUUAUGAUUUCUGCAUCAAAAGGGUUGUGAUUUCUGCAUCUUUGGUGUUUGGGCUAUACCAUUUAUGCAGCUCUUCUACAGGAUAUCUUCCGCAGCAGGUGGACCUUUUGUUGGCUCAAGGCCUGAAAGUCUGGAUCUGGAGAAACUAUUAAAAUUGUUUUUAGUUGAAAUUUCAAUUAACAAACCUUUUGCAGCCAAUAUUCGUUCUUCUUUCGGGAAAGUCACAAUCUUGGUAUUUAUGUUCUUCAUAUUAAUGCUGCAAAACUGGCACCAAGAAGACAGUCACAUCACUUGCAAAAAUCAACUGAUUGUUCACAUUUUAUCACAGGGUCUCUAGACAAGUCUGCACAGCUAUAGGACAACAGAACAUUGACACUGAUCAAGACAUAUGUUACUGAACAUCCAUCAACGCUGUUGCAAUGUCCCCGCUUCUUAACCACGUGGUGCUUGGGGGUGGCCAGGAUGCAUCUGCUGUUACCACAACCGAUCAUCGUGCGGGAAAGUUUGAAGCCAAAUUUUAUGACAAGGUUCUGCAAGAAGAGAUUGGAGGCGUUAAAGGACAUUUCGGGCCAAUUAAUGCUUUGGCAUUCAACCCGGAUGGAAAAAGAUCUCAACAACAACAAGAAGUUUUGACCUGGUUGCUCGAGCCUUAGGCCAUCAACGGACUCAACUCGAGUGGAAAAAUAUAUAUUUACAGGUCUGGUUAAACUGCAUCAUUUAUUCUAUAUCCAUUGCCUUCUCAUCAUCUGUUGUAAGUUGUAACAACAAGAAGUUUUGACCUGGUUGCUCGAGACUUUCAAGUUUGUGAUAGUUGGAAGUAGAAAUGCUGAUAGGAAUUUCGUCAAACAUGGGAUGACUGAUGGAAAUUUGGUAAAAUCAGGCAAGAUGGUGUUGCCAUCAGACCGAAAGUUGUUACAACACUGGCGAUGGUUUGGUGGUUUCAAGCCAAGCCAGAGGCGGUGAUGGUGUUCAGCGAAUCAGCGGCGGCUUGAGAUGAUUGGUUUUGGUGAUAGUUGAUUUUCAGUGACAAGCAACUAGGGUUCCAAACGCGAUCUCCGGGUUACAGAUUGGUGAGUGUGUUGACUAGCGGCAUGGUUUUUGACUUCGACCGUGAGGAUGGAAGGCACCUGGUUCAGAAUACAGAACUGCAUGUCGGCUUCCCCGCCAAUUUUAUAACUAGGUUAACAUUUCCUCUUUCAUUUUUCUGAUUUUCUCCAUAAUUUUUGUGUUUUGUAACUUAAUUUUCGCAAUCUUUGAUCAUGUCUAUAAGGUAUUUGAUGAAAUGCGUCGCUGGGUUAUCUCUUAAUAAAAUAUUUCUAACUUGUGUCAUGUGUUUAAUGGGUUUGCAUGGAAGUGUUUGAUAUUAAUCUAUAAUAGUUUCUGAUGAUUUGUGUGAAUAUAUGCUUCUGAGUAAUCUAAAAGUUGGUUUAUAUCACAACUAAUUGACAAAACAUAUUGGAAGCUCCAACGGCAUAUGAUUGUUGACAACAAGAUCAGGUCUGACAAGACGUACCCUGCUGGUUUCAUGGAUGUUGUUUCUAUUCCCAAGACCAAUGAAAGCCUUUGGUUUUCUUUACGACACAAAGGGUAGAUUUAGACUGCACUCAAUCAGAGACGAGGAGUCAAAGGAGAUGGAUGCUCUGAAAGACAAGAAUUUAGUUGCAAUUACCUUGCAACAGAGGAGCAACCAUACGGUCGAUGGGUUGUGUCCAUCUGCUCUGCACAUUGCGACACGACACGAGCCAUGUGCUUCUGUGGUGAAGGAACCAAAUACCUGAAUCGUCCUGUUGUUGAGUCAUGCGGGUUCCAAAUAUAGUAAGCCUAUGAAUUAUAGCUUUCCGUUCUGGGCGGUUGGGUUUGGGUUGACCCACAAACAUUUUUUCCAUUAAAAUAAUAUGUUAAGUAUAUAUAUAUUUGAUUCAUCUGAGAUAUGAUGUGACUCAAAUCGACCCAUUCAUAAUUAGGUGAGUCAGAAUUGCCACCUUUACCGAUUCAUAAAACCAACCCUCUUAACUAGCUUACCGCUUACCUUCUGAACCUUGUGCACCAAAGGCAGUUAACUGGUCAAAAGCUGACCAUGAAAAUAUAUUCUCAACAAACAAAAGCAUGUUUGGUUGGUGUAAUGUAGAUCUGGUUGAAGCUUAUAAUUCGAAGGUGGAGAGUUUCCAAUAUCUACCGAAACUCAUGGAGAGCAGAUGUUAUCAUCACUUCAUAAAUGGGUACAUCCUUACGGGUCACUCAAGGUUAUUUGAUUGGUGGAAGGAGUUGGACUUUGCAGCUUUGAAUCAGAGUUCGGUUUCGUUUCUUAAUGUUGUGAAAUUGGCCUGGGCCCUAAUUCGGACUUCUAAAGUUACCUUGUAUUGUUUUGUAAUUUGUGGAUAGAUUCAUUGGAAUAAGGACUGUUACUGAGCUUUACUAUCAUAAAUAUGAUACCAUAUGGCUUCUUUUA